UUGAAAAAUGUGAUGAGUCCAUAGUUCAAAUGAAGUUUUUUGAUUACAAUCUUUUAUUGUCUUUCGCUCCUAACUGAUUAUAUUU
rfam:Tribolium castaneum strain Georgia GA2 linkage group LG2, whole genome shotgun sequence.